rnacentral:rRNA from 1 species
UACAGACGGCGCAAGCGUUAUCCGGAAUGAUUGGGCGUAAAGCGUCUGUAGGUGGUUCGCGAAGUCUACUGUCAAAUCCCAGGGCUCAACCUUGGACCGGCAGUGGAGAACUCGUGGACUCGAGUACGGUAGGGGUAGAGGGAAUUCCCGGUGAAGCAGUGAAAUGCACAGAGAUCGGGAAGAACACCAGUGGCGAAGGCGCUCUACUAGGCCGUGACUGACACUGAGAGACGAUAGCUAGGGGAGCGAAUAGG